CUUCCCGUUUGACUACCACAUUUUCUCCUAGUAGAUUUUGGUGGCUAUGCUUAUGGGAUAGAUUAAAAUUGCCAUGAUCUGAAGAGAGAGGAUCUAUUUGUGCCCUCCUCCUAUAUGAAAUGGCGGGACAGAACAUU